GAUGAACGCUGGCGGCGUGCCUAAUACAUGCAAGUCGAGCGAACAGAUGAGGAGCUUGCUCCUCUGACGUUAGCGGCGGACGGGUGAGUAACACGUGGAUAACCUACCUAUAAGACUGGGAUAACUUCGGGAAACCGGAGCUAAUACCGGAUAAUAUAUUUAACCGCAUGGUUCAAUAGUGAAAGACGGUUUUGCUGUCACUUAUAGAUGGAUCCGCGCCGCAUUAGCUAGUUGGUAAGGUAACGGCUUACCAAGGCAACGAUGCGUAGCCGACCUGAGAGGGUGAUCGGCAACACUGGAACUGAGACACGGUCCAGACUCCUACGGGAGGCAGCAGUAGGGAAUCUUCCGCAAUGGGAGAAAGCCUGACGGAGCAACGCCGCGUGAGUGAUGAAGGUCUUCGGAUCGUAAAACUCUGUUAUUAGGGAAGAACAAAUGUGUAAGUAACUAUGCACGUCUUGACGGUACCUAAGCAGAAAGCCACGGCUAACUACGUG
rnacentral:rRNA from 1 species